AAUUUGAUUAAUAUCUUUCAAAUAAAGCAUCUUUUAAACAGACGAGUGACUUUUGCAGGGUAGACGAUGAAGAACUCACGUUUUGCUGUUUCCUCCGAGGCAGUUCUGCAGCAGGUCAGACUCACCUUGUUGGCCAGAGACAUGAUGACGAUGCCCAGGUUGGACAGGGAGCUGUUGAUGGACGUCAUCUCCUUGAAGCGCUCUCCCUGAGACUGACUCUUCAUCAUUCGCUCGCUGCCGGCCAGGUCCACCAGGCAAAGAGUGGCUGUAACCGUGGAAACCAGGAUCAGUCAGGAAACCAUUCAGUUCAUAACACCUGAACAGGUGCAGCAAUUAAAUUCUGGAGCCGAUUUAUAACCUCA